rnacentral:rRNA from 1 species
GGCCAGACUCCUACGGGAGGCAGCAGUGGGGAAUAUUGCACAAUGGGGGAAACCCUGAUGCAGCGACGCCGCGUGAGUGAAGAAGUAUUUCGGUAUGUAAAGCUCUAUCAGCAGGGAAGAUAAUGACGGUACCUGACUAAGAAGCCCCGGCUAACUACGUGCCAGCAGCCGCGGUAAUACGUAGGGGGCAAGCGUUAUCCGGAUUUACUGGGUGUAAAGGGUGCGUAGGUGGCAGGGCAAGUCAGAUGUGAAAGCCCGGGGCUCAACCCCGGUACUGCAUUUGAAACUGUCCGGCUGGAGUGCAGGAGAGGUAAGCGGAAUUCCUAGUGUAGCGGUGAAAUGCGUAGAUAUUAGGAGGAACACCAGUGGCGAAGGCGGCUUUCUGGACUGUAACUGACACUGAGGUACGAAAGCGUGGGGAGCAAACAGGAUUAGAUACCCUAGUAC